rnacentral:rRNA from 1 species
UACGUAGGUGGCAAGCGUUGUCCGGAUUUACUGGGCGUAAAGAGCGCGCAGGCGGUCGUGCAAGUCGCGUGUGAAAGCCCCCGGCUCAACUGGGGGAGGGUCACGCGAUACUGCUCGACUUGAAGGCAGGAGAGGGAAGUGGAAUUCCCGGUGUAGUGGUGAAAUGCGCAGAUAUCAGGAGGAACACCGAUGGCGAAGGCAGGUCUCUGGGCAUUAACUGACGCUGAGGAGCGAAAGCAUGGGGAGCGAACAGG